GCCGGGCGCGGUGGCGCACGCCUGUAGUCCCAGCUACUCGGGAGGCUGAGACAGGAGGAUCGCUUGAGUCCAGGAGUUCUGGGCUGUAGUGCGCUAUGCCGAUCGGGUGUCCGCACUAAGUUCGGCAUCAAUAUGGUGACCUCCCGGGAGCGGGGGACCACCAGGUUGCCUAAGGAGGGGUGAACCGGCCCAGGUCGGAAACGGAGCAGGUCAAAACUCCCGUGCUGAUCAGUAGUGGGAUCGCGCCUGUGAAUAGCCACUGCACUCCAGCCUGGGCAACAUAGCGAGACCCCGUCUCU